rnacentral:rRNA from 1 species
CUACGUAGGGUGCGAGCGUUAAUCGGAAUUACUGGGCGUAAAGCGCACGUAGGCGGCUUUGUAAGUAAGAGGUGAAAGCCUGGAGCUCAACUCCAGAACUGCCUUUUAGACUGCAUCGCUUGAAUCCAGGAGAGGUGAGUGGAAUUCCGAGUGUAGAGGUGAAAUUCGUAGAUAUUCGGAAGAACACCAGUGGCGAAGGCGGCUCACUGGACUGGUAUUGACGCUGAGGUGCGAAAGCGUGGGGAGCAAACAGG